ensembl:lncRNA
UUCUUAGGUGAAUUGGCUCAUCUAAUACUAAUCCUGAAUUUGGCCUGGGAGAAGAAAAGAAAAGCAGAAAUGGAGAAGAGCUAAGACAAACUAACUAACGAACCAAAAACCUGAAGAGGUUUACUAAAUGGAGAGAACUUAAAGUGGCAAGAUCCAUAUGAAUAAAUUCAGGCAUGGAGAAAUUGGAUGACUUGUCCAAAAUUCUACAGCCAGUUAAUGCCAAAGUCAGCCCCAGAAUCAGGCUCUCUGUAAAAUAUAAAAGGAUUUCUAUGUUUUACAAUAAUCAAGGCAGUGCAAUGAUGGCUUAAAAAUAGACAAAUACAUUGUCAGAACAAAGUACAAUCCAGAAAUAAACCCACACAUAUAAGG